CCUACGGGUGGCAGCAGUGAGGAAUAUUGGUCAAUGGACGAGAGUCUGAACCAGCCAAGUAGCGUGAAGGAUGACUGCCCUAUGGGUUGUAAACUUCUUUUAUAAAGGAAUAAAACGAGGCACGUGUGCCUUUUUGCAUGUACUUUAUGAAUAAGGAUCGGCUAACUCCGUGCCAGCAGCCGCGGUAAUACGGAGGAUCCGAGCGUUAUCCGGAUUUAUUUGGGUUAAAGGGAGCGUAGAUGGGUUGUUAAGUCAGUUGUGAAAGUUUGCGGCUCAACCGUAAAAUUGCAAUUGUUACUGGCAGUCUUGAGUACAGGUGAGGUAAGCGGAAUUCGUGGUGUAGCGGUGAAAUGCUUAGAUAUCACGAAGAACCCCGAUUGCGAAGGCAGCUUACUAAACUGUGACUGACAUUGAUGCUCGAAAGUGUGGGUAUCAAACAGGAUUAGAUACCCCAGUAGUC
rnacentral:rRNA from 1 species